rnacentral:lncRNA from 1 species
UUCCUAAUUAUGAACAAUAAGAAUAAAAUUUUUAUAAUGCAUAUCACUCUGAAAGUUGUUUAACUUUAGUCCUUUGAUGUGAGGUUUAGGACCCUUUUUAUGUUAUCUUAUAUUCAUCACUGUCAUACAUUCCAUAAAAGGGAUUUGAAUUUAUCUUUAUUAAUUUGCGACUAACAGGCUUGAUAUAAUGAAUUGAGAAACUCCUCAAAAAGACUAUUAAAAACUCCACAUACAUUCUUCUACUACUAUACAAUAAUCAAUAAAAUCCACAAAGGGUUUUUAUCCAAGUUUGAUAAUAAAUUAUCCAGAAAAGUAAGAUCUAUUGCUCUACGGCAGUGGGCUGAGCCACCGUUGAGACUCCUCAACUGUCCCGAUUCGGCCAUAUAGUACCAAAUCAAUGGCCAAGAUCCCCUUCCGCGUUGUCUUCCUUUGCCAAUUUGAACCACCAUAGCCAUUAAGAGCAGAAGUUGCGAAUAUGGGAAGAUAUGAGAGGGUACCGAAUAAGGGAAAUGAUUUAGGGAUUUAUCUUUAUUUCUCUUCAAGCCAUGAUUCCUAGGUUGUGCAGCUUUGCCACUAUCGCCAGCCUCCAUGCAAGUCGUCACCGCCGCUGAGAAAGGAGAACAAGAGAAGAUGGCUAGGGAUUUAAUUCCCUUUCAUAUGGAACAAGAUAUGGGGUACCCUUGCCCCUUCUCACUUAACUUGUGUUUUUCUGUUUUAUUUAAUCCUCUUUUUUUUUUUUUAAUUUGUUUUGCUUACUUAUAUGCCUACUUCAUUUGCGUAUUAUUUCUCACACUAUUUGUUUGGGUAAUUGAAAUAAAGUAGAUGCAAAAUAAUAUACUUCAUAUUCUAAACAA